rnacentral:rRNA from 1 species
GACGAACGCUGGCGGCGUGCUUAACACAUGCAAGUCGAACGGUGAAGCGAGUGCUUGCACUCGUGGAUCAGUGGCGAACGGGUGGGUAACACGUGAGUAACCUGCCCAUCACUCUGGGAUAAGCACUGGAAACGGUGUCUAAUACUGGAUACGACCAACCCUUGCAUGGGGUGUUGGUGGAAAGAUUUAUCGGUGAUGGAUGGACUCGCGGCCUAUCAGCUUGUUGGGGGGGUAAUGGCCCACCAAGGCGACGACGGGUAGCCGGCCUGAGAGGGGGACCGGGCCAAGGGGGAAGGAACGGAGGGCCGGCCCGACGGGGGGGGGGAGGGGGGGAGAAUUGGAAAAAGGGGGAGGAGGCGGGGGGAGGGAACGGGGGGGGGGGGAGGAGGCCUUGGGGUGGGAAACCUGUUUCAGCGGGGAAGAAAGAGAGGGGGGGGUCCCUGAGGAAAGAACCCCGGCCAAAUGCGGG